GCUUGCUUGGUGGUGAGAGUGGCUAACGGGUGAGUAAUGCGUGACCAACCUGCCCCAUGCUUCGGAAUAGCUCCUGGAAACGGGUGGUAAUGCCGGAUGCUCCGCAUCAUCGCAUGAUGGUGUGGGAAAGGGUUUACCGGCAUGGGAUGGGGUCGCGUCCUAUCAGCUUGUUGGCGGGGUGAUGGCCUGCCAAGGCUUCGACGGGUAGCCGGCCUGAGAGGGCGACCGGCCACAUUGGGACUGAGAUACGGCCCANACUCCUACGGGAGGCAGCAGUGGGGAAUAUUGCACAAUGGGCGCAAGCCUGAUGCAGCGACGCCGCGUGCGGGAUGACGGCCUUCGGGUUGUAAACCGCUUUUGAUUGGGAGCAAGCGAGAGUGAGUGUACCUUUCGAAUAAGCACCGGCUAACUACGUGCCAGCAGCCGCGGUAAUACGUAGGGUGCAAGCGUUAUCCGGAUUUAUUGGGCGUAAAGAGCUCGUAGGCGGUUCGUCGCGUCUGGUGUGAAAGUCCAUCGCUUAACGGUGGAUCGGCGCCGGGUACGGGCGGACUGGAGUGCGGUAGGGGAGACUGGAAUUCCCGGUGUAACGGUGGAAUGUGUAGAUAUCGGGAAGAACACCGAUGGCGAAGGCAGGUCUCUGGGCCGUCACUGACGCUGANGAGCAAAAGCGUGGGGAGCGAACAGGAUUAGAUACCCUGGUAGUCCACGCCGUAAACGGUGGAUGCUGGAUGUGGGGCCCGUUCCACGGGUUCCGUG
rnacentral:rRNA from 1 species